GGGCUCCCGUGAUGUCCGGCACUGGGCUCUGAUCGCCCCUGAGGAUUCAGUGCGCCACAGGACCUUUGACACCUGGGGAUCUGAGGAGCCC